UCUACUGAUGAAAAGCAAGACACAUUCUAUGCAGUGAUAGAAUCACCUCUCCAGACCUUUUCCUCAUAGGAGGCAGGAGUUAUACCUGGGAGUCACCUAGCUUAUCUUAGCAGAGGUCCUCCUGUUUCAACUGCAUUUUACUAUACCCUCUCCAUGGAAUUUUCAUAUUGUAUCAAAAAACAGAGUGCCAACAAAUAAAUGAACAAAGAAUGAAUGAAUAAAUUAAGGAAUUAUGAAAAUUAAGAAAAAUUAAUUAUUCCAUGUAUUUUAAAUUAUUUUAGCUUAAGUUACACUGCUCUUCUGGGGAUUUUCAGUUUUACUGUGAUCAGCCAUAAACUCAGUCAAGUUUUCUGGAUUGCAGGCAUGUUCAGAAGAAUAUGUUUGAUAACCUUUCAGUGCCACACCUUGGCUAUCAUAGACUACUGUCUCUAAUGCUGUCAUGACACUCGAAAAGCACAGGCUUUGCUUCUCUACGAAGUAAGGAAAGGCUCCCCUCCAAGGUGAAUGCAGCCCAGGCCACGUGGCUCUGUGCAUGGAGGAUGGGCUGCUGUAAGUUCCACCUUUCCCCUGGCUGGCAGCUCCAGUAGUGGGCAAAACAACAUGCACAAGCAGGGAGGCUGCAGGAGUAGUAAAAACAAAUGUGUAUGAUGCUGAUUAAUGAACUAAAACACGUUGUGGAGAGAAUUACUUAGCUAUGCAAAUAGGACUCACGGUGAAAUUGUGCAGCCCGAGGCAUAUGCAUGAUGUCCUGUGUAGCGAAUUUCACAGCGGACAACAUUGUUGGAAUAGUCCGACUCAGGCACCAGGUAGCUGGGAUUCACACUGACCUAGGCAACAAAAACAUCAUCUGUGUUUCCGAUUUCAUCAGCAGUGUUUACUGGUUAAUUUUUUCCUAUUUCCACAGGGCUAGAAUGGAGGCAGUGCUUCAACUAAAUCAAGCAGGGAGAGUGUAAUCUGUCAUAUCAAGAAUCACAUGUGAAAUGAAAAAGCCACUUCAAAGUACCCAAGAGGGCCAUCCACUUACUGGUGAC